rnacentral:rRNA from 1 species
UAAUACGGAGGGUGCAAGCGUUAAUCGGAAUUACUGGGCGUAAAGCGCACGCAGGCGGUCUGUCAAGUCGGAUGUGAAAUCCCCGGGCUCAACCUGAGAACUGCAUUCGAAACUGGCAGGCUAGAGUCUUGUAGAGGGGGGUAGAAUUCCAGGUGUAGCGGUGAAAUGCGUAGAGAUCUGGAGGAAUACCGGUGGCGAAGGCGGCCCCCUGGACAAAGACUGACGCUCAGGUGCGAAAGCGUGGGGAGCAAACAGGAUUAGAUACCCUGGUAGUCCACGCCGUAAACGAUGUCGAUUUGGAGGUUGUGCCCUUGAGGCGUGGCUUCCGGAGCUAACGCGUUAAAUCGACCGCCUGGGGAGUACGGCCGCAAGGUUAAA